rnacentral:rRNA from 1 species
UAGUCCACGCCGUAAACGAUGUUCACUCGCUGUUUGCAAUACACAGUAAGCGGCUGAGCGAAAGCAUUAAGUGAUCCACCUGGGAAGUACGAUCGCAAGGUUGAAACUCAAAGGAAUUGACGGGGGCCCGCACAAGCGGAGGAGCAUGUGGUUUAAUUCGAUGAUACGCGAGGAACCUUACCUGGGCUUAAAUGUAAGACGACCGUCCCCGAAAGGGGACUUUCCUUCGGGACGUCCUACAAGGUGCUGCAUGGUUGUCGUCAGCUCGUGCCGUGAGGUGUCGGGUUAAGUCCCAUAACGAGCGCAACCCCUAUCCUUAGUUGCCAUCAGGUAAUGCUGGGGACUCUAAGGAAACUGCCUACGCAAGUAGUGAGGAAGGUGGGGAUGACGUCAAAUCAGCACGGCCCUUAUGUCCAGGGCUACACACGUGCUACAAUGGCUGGCACAGAGGGUCGCUACCUGGUGACAGGAUGCUAAUCUCGAAAACCAGUCUCAGUUCGGAUCGAAGUCUG